GAUGAACGCUGGCGGCGUGCUUAACACAUGCAAGUCGAACGAAGCACUUUAUUUGAUUUCCUUCGGGACUGAUUAUUUUGUGACUGAGUGGCGGACGGGUGAGUAACGCGUGGGUAACCUGCCUUGUACAGGGGGCUAACAGUUGGAAACGGCUGCUAAUACCGCAUAAGCGCACAGCAUCGCAUGAUGCAGUGUGAAAAACUCCGGUGGUAUAAGAUGGACCCGCGUUGGAUUAGCUAGUUGGUGAGGUAACGGCCCACCAAGGCGACGAUCCAUAGCCGACCUGAGAGGGUGACCGGCCACAUUGGGACUGAGACACGGCCCAAGCUCCUACGUGAGGCAGCAGUGGGGAAUAUUGCACAAUGGGCGAAAGCCUGAUGCAGCGACGCCGCGUGAGCGAAGAAGUAUUUCGGUAUGUAAAGCUCUAUCAGCAGGGAAGAUAAUGACGGUACCUGACGAAGAAGCACGGGCUAAAUACGUG
rnacentral:rRNA from 1 species